rnacentral:rRNA from 1 species
CUACGGGCGGCUCCAGUGGGGAAUAUUGCACAAUGGAGGAAACUCUGAUGCAGCAACGCCGCGUGGAGGAUGACACUUUUCGGAGCGUAAACUCCUUUUAUAUAGGAAGAAGAUGACGGUACUAUAUGAAUAAGCGCCGGCUAACUCCGUGCCAGCAGCCGCGGUAAUACGGAGGGCGCAAGCGUUACUCGGAAUCACUGGGCGUAAAGAGCGUGUAGGCGGAUUAAAAAGUCAGAAGUGAAAUCCUAUAGCUUAACUAUAGAACUGCUUCUGAAACUCUUAAUCUAGAAUAUGGGAGAGGUAGAUGGAAUUUCUGGUGUAGGGGUAAAAUCCGUAGAGAUCAGAAGGAAUACCGAUUGCGAAGGCGAUCUACUAGAACAUUAUUGACGCUGAGACGCGAAAGCGUGGGGAGCAAACAGGAUUAGAUACCGGUAGUC